CCUCAACUGCUGCUUUCGCCGCAGUGUAUGCCCCGAAACCCGGCCUCAGUGCCGCCACCUGUGACGAUGAGAACAGUAUAAUCCGGCCCCCACCACCGCGCUUCAAACGGUUCGCUGCCUCCUUGCUGCACAGGAAUGCCCCUCGUUCACAGAGAAGACGCGAUCGAAGCUCUCGAUCGAUGUAUCAGCGAUUGUGGGAUACUUACUGUCUAACGUUCCGGCUGAGUUAACCAGGAUGUGAACCGGCGAGUUGAAAUCCCGCUCAGCAGAGUCGAAGAGUAACUGCACCUGAGUUGGAUCGGAUAUGUCAGCGCGAACAACAAUAGCUCGCGGGAUGGAUGCGGAGGAAGCAGCGGCGGCGACGGCGUUGAUCUCUGCGGCGAGUGAGUCAGCUGGAGCCGAGUUAUCGGAGGAGUAGUUGAUGACGAGUCGGGCGCCGAGUUGACUGAGGUGGAGGGCGAUUUGUCGACCGAUACCGCGGGAAGAGCCGGUGACGAUUGCGAGUCGAUUAUGGAGAGGAAGGGAUUGAGGGGAAGUGGAAGGUGAAGUUGAAGGAAUAGCAACAUCAAUGGCUUCUUGUGAAGUAGCCAUUGGAGAGAGAAGGUCUUGGAUAUUGCUCACACCAUGUGUAUGAUCACUUCACCCUUAUAUUCAAAAACUCGCCUUAAUUGGUAGUACAAAAAAAACUCCCU